rnacentral:tRNA from 1 species
GGUAAGAUGGCUGAGAUUCUAGGCGGUGGAUUGUAAAUCCAUUCACAGGGGUUCGAGUCCCCUUUUUAUCA